rnacentral:snoRNA from 1 species
GAGCAUGGUAAUGGAUUUAUGGUGGGUCCUUCGCUGUGGGCCUCUCAUAGUGUACCCAUGCCAGAGUAAAUGGCAGCCUCAAACCAUUGCCCAGCCCCCUUACCUGUGGGCUGUGAGCACUGAAGGGGGUUGCACAGUG